GACACGGUCCAGACUCCUACGGGAGGCAGCAGUGAGGAAUAUUGGACAAUGGGAGCAAUCCUGAUCCAGCAAUGCCGCGUGUGGGAUGACGGGGCUUUGCCUUGUAAACCACUGUCGGACGGGACGAGAAGAGGUAAGAACCUCUGGGACGGUACCGUCAAAGGAAGGAUCGGCUAACUACGUGCCAGCAGCCGCGGUAAUACGUAGGAUCCAAGCGUUGUCCGGAUUUACUGGGUAUAAAGGGUGCGUAGGCGGCUUUUUGCGUCAGAGGUGAAAUCCACGGGCUUAACCCGUGGGGUGCCUUUGAAACGGGAAGGCUUGAGUAUGACAGAGGCGGAUGGAAUUCCUGGUGUAGCAGUGAAAUGCGUAGAUAUCAGGAGGAACACCGGUGGCGAAGGCGGUCCGCUGGGUCAUAACUGACGCUGAGGCACGAAAGCGUGGGGAUCAAACAGGAUUAGAUACCCUGGUAGUCCACGCCUUAAACGAUGUAUGCUUGGUGUUGGAACAGCAAUGUUUCAGUGCCGGAGGGAAUCUAUUAAGCAUACCACCUGGGGAGUACGAUCGCAAGGUUGAAACUCAAAGGAAUUGACGGGGGCCCGCACAAGCGGUGGAUUAUGUGGUUUAAUUCGAUGCAACGCGAAGAACCUUACCCGGGCUCGAAGUGCAGGUAGUAAAGAGAUGAAAGUCGAAUGAACCGUUAAGUCGGUUGCCUGUAUAGGUGCUGCAUGGCUGUCGUCAGCUCGUGCCGUGAGGUGUUGGGUUAAGUCCC
rnacentral:rRNA from 1 species